GGCUAACGUUACUGGAGAAUUGGGUAUUGAGUAAGCAGGUUCUGAAAAAUGAUUGGUUGAGACGACUCCGGAUGUGCAUGACUGAGCACUGAUUGGUAAAUUGAAGGGUCAGGAAGAGCAGUUCGGCACGAGGAUUGGCGGCGAAGUGUCCCAUGGAAACCGAACCCGGAGCUGCGGCCAGCAUUUGCACGGGGGCGGGGCAGGGUCUUUCUAAGGCGCCUGCGCUAAACCGGCUUCUCGGCGCCAUUUUGUCUGAGCGGCGGUGGUCGCAGCUCUAUCGCAUUUUACGUUUCUGGCGAGACGAGAGCCGACUGUGUAUCCUGUAGAUUCAUUUUAGUGCGGCACCUAUCCACGGUUCACUCCAGGACAGCACCUUGUGAAGGUCGGAGGAGUCGCGAACCUGUCAAAAGGUCGGUUGGAAGCUGUGGCUGUCCGAGUGACUAGGGGAUGGCGCAGCUUUAGCGGCACCGGCACCGGAAGUGGACGGGCCGCGCGGCGGCCAUGGCAAAGUGGUCUGAAGAAAACCAAAAUCUCUCAGUGUCAUAUCCUAAAGUAUUACUGAGAAUAAACCUCAUUUUGUGGGAAAAUGAAGGAAGAUGUUCCAGUUUUAAAAGACCUGGAUCUACUGUUGAAAAUUCUGUUUCUGAGAGCAAGCACAUGUAGGAGAGAGAAUCCCAAGCAAGCCCCACGCUCAGCAUGGAGCCCGACCCGGGGCUCAAUCCCACAACCCUAGGAUCAUAACCUGAGCCCAUAAUCAAGAGUCAGAUACUCAACUAAUUGAGCCACCUGUGCACUCUGCAAAUGCUACUUUUUGAGUGAAAUUUUCCAUGAUCCCUCUUUAGUCUGAUACACUUCAGGCCUCCAAAUGAUUGCUUGUUGCUGUCUAGUUGCUGCUCACCCAGACCAGUCUAUCUACUAGAGGUCCCUUUAUGAAUGAUGGAAAUAGAAGCAAAUGGAUAGUCUUAAUCAGAUAAGUGCUUUAAUAGUCUAAAUAUAUUUUUUGUAAUCCCUAAACUAAAACUUGAUUCUUUAAAACAUUUUUGAUUUCUCUUUUCAGGUGCCCAUAUCAAGAGAGUUUACAGUAAAUAAGGUACUGGAUCUUUUCUGAAAAUAAAUUUAUAAUCUUAUCAAAGUAAAAUGUACCAGCUUUUUUCCCCCCACAAAGGCUAAUCAAUAUUUCAAUGGUGCAAUUACAGAGUGCCUCCCACAGUUGAACCUAGAUUAUUAAUUUUACAUAUAAUAUGUAUGAAAGUCAAUUGUCUCAUAGCUGAAAUAGGUAUAUCUGUUUAUACAGUUUUCCAGUUAUCUAUGUUACAGUAUCUAUAGUUUUUAGGUGGCUUCUCUCUUCAAAGUUAGAAAUUUCUUUAGAACCAGUGUCUAUUCUUUUAAAGGGCUUUUUUUAGCUAUACUGACGUGAAUUUUUUGUUUCAAGGAACCUCUCUAUGCCCAUCAUGGGGCUUGAACUCCCCACCACCCCUGAGAUCCAGAGUCACAUGCUCUACCACGUGACCCCAGGUGCCCCUAUACUGAUGUGAAUUCACAGCACAAUAGAAUAAAAUGUAGCAGGGAGUUUUAUUUUAUAUAAAAGCUGUGGUAAUGAUAAACAAUCUUGACUUGUUUGUAUAGUAGUUAGCUACUCAUGUCUAAUGAUUUGCUAUUUGAACUACAGAGAUGUUCAAAGUCCAGCAGUAUCCUGCUGCUAAACUCCAGUGAGUACAUGACCUUCUUAGGAAAGCAUGACAGUUGAGAGUGAUACUGGCAUGAACCCAGUAAAGGGUUUGUAGACUUGGCAUACUUGGCCUGAGUUACAAACUGUUUCUUCCUGCUUUGAGUACUGUUCAGGUUAUGACAGUGGUUCUUACAGGCCUCAAUACCGAUUGUAGUCUAACUUCUUAUUUAGCAUAAAUCUGGGUACUUUUGUUGAACUUUACAGAUCAAGAAAUUUUUGAAGUGACAGAAUAGGGACUUUGUGGCUCCUUAAACCCACUCCUCACCGCAAUAAAAGGGAAAAGAAAUUCACUUUUGAGCCUAAAACCUUUCUUAUGUGUCACACUUCAAGGUUAACAGUGGCUGCUGGCCAACCGUCAUUUUACUAAAUGUAAAACAGAGUAGCGGCAUCAAAUAAUACCUACCGAGUUGGUAGGGACUUACUUCACAAAAGCCCAGCGAUAAAUGAUCUUUAGAUUCUAGGCGAGUGAUGAAAUGGAACUCUGAAUGAAUGAUUCCCAAGUUUCUUUUUGUAGUAUUUUCACUUAAGGAAUUUUUUUCAGUAAACCUAAACCAACAUUUUAAUGCCAAGUAAGUAAAUAUGUACUCGGUUACUCCCACCAAUUUUGUUACACAGGUAUCAAACUUCAGUCGUUACAAGACAAAAAUUUAAUGAAAACUGGUCAGUGGAUAUAUAAUAAUCCACAGGGCUAAAGAGUUACACGGGACUGUAUUAGAAAUUUAAAAUAGAUGCUGAAGCAAAUGUUACAUAUUAUCAUCAUCUGAUUCAUCUUCUUCCUUCAGUGAUUCCUGUUAAGAGAAAGAUAGUGCUUAAAAUCAAUUUUUAAUAUUGUUGUAACAGCCUGAAUCUAAGGUUAAAUAAGCACGUCGCUGAAAAAUGAACACUUAGAAUAACAUACCCAACUAAAGAAAAGGAUAAUUAAGUUUAUCUUGCUCCAACAGUGAACAGACUAUAUAUUCUUGAUAGAACACAUGGAAUGAAAGCAUUAAAUGUCCUGAAAAACCUUAUGUUUUCACACGCAAAAUUUUUGGAACCAGGGCAAACAUAUCCCCAUUGAGGAUAACCUAGAAAAUUUUGGUCCUUGGUUCAGUUUGCCUCAAGUAUUAUUUAAUAGAAAUCAAUCACGUUCCUUUAUUAUUCAACACUUACUCUCAUACCUAUAGACAGUUUUGACAUGCUGCAGCUUACCUUAGCAUACUUCUCUGCCUCUUCCCUUAUGUCUUUUGGAACAAUUUCAUGUCUUCCUUUAGUUACUGCAAAUUAAGCCAUACAAAUGAAUUAGAAAUGAGGCCUAUGUUGUGAUUUGCAAUACAACGUAUCCAAUCCAUAGGUAAGAUUCAUCUAAUGUUAAAGUUGUUUAUGGUAAAGCAGCCCUAUUCACUAUAGUUUUUAUUUUUUUAGUUUAUUUUAGAAAGAGAGAGACAGAGUGCGAGCAGAGGAGGGGCGGAGAGAGAGGGAGACACAGAAUCCGACGCAGGCUCCAGGCCCUGAGCUGUCAGCACAGAUUCCGAUGCAGGACCCGAGCCAAAGUUGGCACUGAGCCACCCAGGCGCCCCAUAUUCAUUAUAGUUUUUAAAAACCCACUGGAAAGAGGCCAACCAGCAGCAGAAGAGGAAAUGAAUAAUUAGUGAUAUAUUUGGACAACAGAACACUAUACAGCAAGGCAAAUGAACAAAUACUGUACAUAACACAAAUAAUUUACACAAAUGGAAUGUUGAAGAAAAUAAAUCAGGGAUAAAAGAAUAAAUAUAUACUGUGUAAUUCCAUUUACAGAAAAUUGAAUGACAGGCAAAACUACCUAUGGGAGAAGGCAGAGGACUAUGAAUUCAGAGAGGCCUAAAGGGUGAUCUGGGGAGCUGGUCUAUUUGUUGACCAGAGAGAGCACAGUGGUUACAUGAAUAUGUACAUCAUUACCAAUUUUUAAAAUUAGAAAAAGGCACCCAGUGGUAAAUUAGGUUUAGUACAGAUGACUUAGAGCAAAUAAAUGUACAAAAAUAACUUACUUUCACCAACCCAGCUUAGCUCUAGUUCAAAAGCUUUAUCCUUAACUUCAUCAUGUACUAUGUAAAUUCUAGAACACAAAAAAGUUUAAAAUUAACAUUUGGUCCUAUACAAACAUGCACAGUCAGCACAAAUUAGAUCAUCUGUCCCUAAUAUAACCUCAAAAGAAACAUUUCCUCAAAUGGGAAAAGGCCAAUCGUUACUUUUGCCUUUUCAGGAUAUUUGUUUAUUCCUUUCAUUAAGUGAUUAUUUUUUAAACUAACUUAGUAGUUUGCAGUUAUUACUGGUCCCUCCAGUCUGAAGCUUCUUGGCAGGUAUCUUUUUAAACCUCUUCUCCAUUUUAUAAGCACUAUAUGCCCCUUAACCUGGCCUCUAAACUAUAAUACAUAACAAAUUACAACAAACAAGAAGGCACUGUCAUACAACAUAUUAAAACUAUCAUAUCAAAACUUUCUUUACAUUUUCCAGCAUCUUCACACAGUUUACUCUGGAGGAUAUUUUUAAAGCCUUGCUAUAGUAUGAGAAAGCAUCUUAAUUUUCUAGACUAAGUAAAAGAUAUAGUGCUCCAUUUUACUAAAUGAUAAGGGAUGGCUUUCUUACACAGAACUAAUUAGCAUCUGCUGUUACACCUAAAAAUAAAAAGGUGUAGUAAGGGCUGUUUUCCAGAAGCAUUUCUCAGUGAAGGAAUGGGAGUUGAUCACAUUUAAACUGUUGUACAGUUCAGUAAGGAUUCUUUAUUUUCCAGGCAGUUGUCAGGUAGUUCCCAGUGUUCCUCAUGUUAUUAACUGACAAUCACAGAAUGGGUUCUGCUUCUUAACUGGGAAGUGGAAGGGUCUCUUGGUAAAAGGGAGGAGGAAGGCAGGUGAUGUGGCAGUUGGAACAGUGGUGACAGGACAAAAUUAUAUAACACUUCCAAUAUUUUAUUAUAGCUAUCAGUUUAGAAGAGAUUAAGGAUGUCAUUUAAAUAUAUAAUAAAGCCUCUUAGAUUUUUUUCCUUGCAUGUAUUAUUAAUUAUAAAACCUGAGGCACUUGCACAAACUGCUGACUAGACCAUGUUGAUGUAGUUCUCAUGUGGAAAAGAAGAGCCGUGAAUCCUCUGGAAUAUUAUGUUUAUUUUAAGUCUAAAAAGCUGGCUGCAACUCUUAGCAUUUCAUUGGAUUUUCUGAAAUACCACAUGCUUAUUAUUACAUUCUUUGACCUAGAAGAACCAUGAAUUCUGAAGCAUGUCACUCAGGACUUUGAGGUUACUUACUGCAGUCACAUAAGCAUUCUAUUCUAUGUACCUGUAAUAUGAACCACUUCAGGACUUCUUAAAGCUGUUUUUAAAUGUAUUGAAAUACUGUUUUGUUUUGUUUUUUUGAGACACAGAAAGUGCCCAAGUGGGUAAGGGGCAGAGGAACAGAGACUCUUAAGCAGGCUCCACACCCAGCAUGGACCCCAAGCAAGGAUCAAUCUCACAACCCUGAGAUCAUGACCUGAGCUAAAAUCAAGAGUCAGACGCCACCCAGGUGCACCUGCUCUCUUCAUCUUCUUAAAAAACUUUCAUGAUUAACGUACCUUGCCCAAAGAAACAGACUGUAUAAAUGAGCCAGCUUCGUGGUUCACGUGUAGAAAUAAUUUAGCUAUAAAACCUAAAAUAAAAUUUGUAAGCUAAGAUGCCUAUUACUGGGACCUCUGAGAUUUGAAAGGGUAGGAGCUAUCAAAUGAAGUGCUUACAGGUCCGUUGUAUCCUCCUCCUCGUGAAUUCUGUCACCUAAUAAGAGUUUUACAUUAAAGCUAUUUUUCCCCAUCCCAUUUGCUGAAUCACGAGGUCUGUUCCGUCACUUGAAAUAUGGAUAUUUCUCCAUAAUGAGACGUUAUUAGAAUGUUACAUUCACCUUAGGCACUAAAUUAUUUCCAAACAAAAUAGACCUCUAGAAUUAAUGUAUAAGGUAAGAUCAAAUGAAAUACUUGUCAGUGGUAAUAAAAAUUUCAACUUACAUUUUUGCAACUUCUUUAACGACAUCACGGCAGGUCAUUUCUUUCAUCUAUAGAAAAUAUUAAGUUAUGAGUCGGGAGAACUUCCCACUUAUAUAACUAUUUUCAGAUUUUUUGCACAAAUUUUGUCAGUACCCAUGGUUUUGAACUAGAGUCUCAGACAUAAAACCAAAAACAUAAUACACUGAAUUUAAGAAUACCAGUCUUACUAGGAAAUACAGACCUAAUAUGUGGGACUGACUAUAAAAGCAACUGGCAUGGGCUCUUAAAAAAAUAAGCACUGGGAGAAGGUGAAGACUGAAAUGUGAGCCUUAAUUAUCAUGGUUUGAAAAAGUUACAAAAUGAAACAGAUUACUGAGGUGGUUUGACUACAGACUGAAUACCUAAUACUAUCGUCUGUGUAAUAAUGUUAUUCUACAGAGAUGAAUGCUGAAGCAUUUAGGGAUACAGCAUCAUGAUGUCUGUAAUUGUUUCAAACAGUUCAGGAAAAAAAAAUGGGCAAAAAUAUUAGAAAAUAACUUUUCAAUCUAGAUGGAGAGAUUUGUUGCACUAUUUAUCUUUCCUGUUUACAUUUUUUUCAUGUUAAAUUGGGGGGGAAGUAAAUGAAAAGAAUGCCUAUUUCUUCAUACUUCUGCCCUUAUAGGUUAUAAUUAGUGAAUUGUACCAUAAUAAUAAAGACAAACUUAAGUAAACAUGGAAAAGCACAUUUUAAGUGACAAUUAUAUUCUUAUAUAUGUUCAUGAAAUUUUUAUUUUAUGACAUAAUAUUCUUAGUAAAUAACAUCAGAAGAACAAGCCAGAGCAAUGAUGUAGAUCAUGGGUUGGCAAACUCCUUUAUAGAAAUAAAGAGCCAAAUAGUAAAUAUUUUAGACUUUAUGAUACAUAUGGUCUUUGGUCUGUGUUCCAACUCUUAAACUCUACUACUGUACUGUGAAAGCAGCCAGUGACUAAACAUGACUGUGUUCCAAUAAAACUUUAGAAAGCA